CGGCAACAUCAAGAGUUGGGGGCAACCCCGACGCCAACCUGCCGGCAACCGGGCAAGGUGGCGCCUUUCAGCGAUGAAAGGGAUGUGGCCGCAGCGGCAACCAAACGGAGCCAA
rnacentral:ncRNA from 2 species